UACGUAGGGGGCUAGCGUUGUCCGGAAUCAUUGGGCGUAAAGAGCGUGUAGGCGGCCCGGUAAGUCCGCUGUGAAAACUUGAGGCUCAACCUCAAGACGUCGACGGAAACCAUCUGGCUAGAGUCCGGAAGAGGAGAGUGGAAUUCCUGGUGUAGCGGUGAAAUUCGUAGAUAUCGGGAGGAACACCAGUGGCGAAGGCGACUACCUGGCCUGUUUCUUGACGGCUGAGGCGCGAAAGCCAGGGGAGCAAACGGG
rnacentral:rRNA from 1 species